GUGCCCAACAGCUAAAGUCUUCAUUCCAGCAGCCACCACGUGAUUGUGCCGUAAACACUUCCUGUUCGUCUUGACCGAGCUGUUUUGUGACUCAGACUGAUUGUCAGACGAAGGCUGAACUUGUCAUUGAGGAAGAGCUCGAGUGUCAGUUGACAGCUGAGAUCCACCACAGACGCUUAGAAGCAGCUUGACUCACCACAGAGGCUUCAGCCUGAGGAGACAAAAACCAGGGAGAAAUGGUGUGACUGAUCAUCAGCGCUUGCAGGUAUGUGGCGCAGAAGAUCCGGGCUGCCGUGAGAGGCGAGCCGCAGCCCGAGAAGCCGAGCGCCACAGCGUGUAGCCAGAGAAAAGCUCGGAGGGAGGCCGCGAUGAGCUCCGAGGAGCCCGUCCUGAUUCCCCAGCGGACGGGGGAGGCCGAUGUGCCGCGGAGGGAACAGUGUGGAUCCUGAAAGUAAGCUGAGAGCUGGAGGGCAGAGUGGAGGCUUUCUAAAGAGGACACCAACACAGAAGCUCUCCUCCAGCCUCCACCAGAGCUGUGAGGCUUCGUCAUCUUUCCAAACUACAAAUGAAAAAUGUUUGGCUUUCAGUUUCCUCCACCAGCUUCCAGCUCUCAGGUUUCUUUCCCACCCGUCGUCCUUCCCGUGAAGACUGCAGUCCGAGUCGGCAGAGAAAAUGAAGGCCUGGUCACAAAUUCCCCAGCGGAGGAACCGAUUAGUCUGGAAAAUAUUAGAGUCUGCUGAUGAAGCUGCUUCCAAUCGCACAUCAUGAGUUCAUGCGCAUGGUUGUUUACUGUCAAACUUUUCAUUAAAAAGAGCUGAUUAUUA